GAUGAACGCUGGCGGCGUGCCUAAUACAUGCAAGUCGAGCGAACAGACGAGGAGCUUGCUCCUCUGACGUUAGCGGCGGACGGGUGAGUAACACGUGGAUAACCUACCUAUAAGACUGGGAUAACUUCGGGAAACCGGAGCUAAUACCGGAUAAUAUAUUGAACCGCAUGGUUCAAUAGUGAAAGACGGUUUUGCUGUCACUUAUAGAUGGAUCCGCGCCGCAUUAGCUAGUUGGUAAGGUAACGGCUUACCAAGGCAACGAUGCGUAGCCGACCUGAGAGGGUGAUAGGCCACACUGGAACUGAGACGCGGUCCAGACUCCUACGGGAGGCAGCAGUAGGGAAUCGUCCGCAAUGGGCGAAAGCCUGACGGAGCAACGCCGCGUGAGUGAUGAAGGUCUUCGGAUCGUAAAACUCUGUUAUUAGGGAAGAACAAAUGUGUAAGUAACUAUGCACGUCUUGACGGUACCUAAUCAGAAAGCCACGGCUAACUACGUG
rnacentral:rRNA from 1 species